GUAAGAACCGCGUGUUCCUGGAUUUGAAGGCCCGAAGCCGCGCAGUUUAGAUGGGAGAAACCUUCCCGUAGGCGCCGUUGUGAAAACCAUGGGAUUCAUUCCUCAGUGUGAGAUCUCCCCAAAGCCACGUGGACUGGAGUCAGUGACAGAAUCAACCAGGUACAGUGGUAUGCCCUUGUGAUCCCAGCAACAGACUAUCAGGGACAGACCAAUCCCUGGGGCUCAACAGCUGACCAGCCAGCCUAGCCUAGCCUACUUGGUGAGUUUCCAGGCAAGAAAGACCUUGUCUCACACACAAAGCCGUCAUCUCCUGAAGACGCCAGGACUGUCCCUGUUAUGUUCCAACUCACCCUCCAGACCUGAGAAUUAUGAUUAUCAAACUGAGCCACAAUAUGGAUUUCAAAUUUUGUUGGACCACCAGAGGAACGUGAACAGAGCGAGCACACAAAAUCACCUGCAGAGAUGCCAGAGGGGUGACUACAGCAGAAGCAGCAGAGACGAGCAAUCCUGCGACCAAGCUGUGAAAGCCACAGGCAGUUUGGUAGCCUGACAGCUAAAGUAGCCCCUUCACUGGUUGUCUGUGCACGGAAGCAAGCAUCGAAAUGCAGAAGUACGUUCUCUCCCAAUAUUGCUGUAUUACCUUAGUAAAUACCAUUCCUAAAGGCUAUAAUUUGAUGUCUGCUACAUAAAUCAGCUGCACUCCUUGGCCAACAAAGGACCCAGGAUCGGUUCUCCCAACAAGAUGGAUCACAAUCUUAACUCCCUCUUCUGACCCGCAAAGACACCAGGUAGUGCACCUUCAUACACGCAGACAGAACACUCACACGAAUAAGUCUUUGAAAUUGUGGGGUUAGGGGAGUGGCCUCGUUCCUGGUGGCGCACAUAUUUAAUCACACCACUCUCGGCAGAGGCAGGCAGAUCACUUGGGGAUACAGGACUG
rnacentral:lncRNA from 1 species